GGCAGGAGCAUCCUGGUUGUCCUGUGCCCUCCCCACCUCUGCCUGUCCCGGGCGGGGGGGAGCGCAGGAUCCUGGGCUGUGUCCCCCGGCGCUCUGGGCUCCGGGGCCUGCGCUGCUGG
rnacentral:miRNA from 1 species